GCAUGACAAAAUGCGCUCCAUCCCAGCACCAACCCAUAUAGAAUAUAUUAGCAGUCUAAAUAGUACCCUGACGGCUCUAGGACCCAGAGGAGACCACGGAAGCCAUGCGCGUCCAGUUCUUUCUGUAUCGUUUCGCCUCUUGCCUCCUCUACCAUGAUGCAGCAUCUCGGCCGACUGGCUUUAAUGUCGUGCUUCUGUGUGCUGAUAAGCGGACAACUUGAUGACUCCAAAUUUAGCGAAAGACCGUAUGACGUUCUCCAAAAUCAAAAUCUGGUUAUCCUGGGGAGUGUAUUCGGGAUCCUGUUGGUCAUUAUGGUAACAAUGGCUGUCUGUGUUUACAAGCCCUUACCUCGCCGGUGAGCAGCGCGCGCCUCUCCCUACAGCCGCACGAGCCCAGAGCGCCUCUACCUACAGUCGCACGACCCCAGCGCCUGGUGCGCCUCUACCUACAGGCGCACGAGCAGAGCGCCUCUACCUACAGGCGCACGAACCUUUACCUACUACAGGCGCACGAGCACAGAGGGCCUCUGCCUACACCCGCACGAGUCCAGAGAACCUCUACCUACAGGCGCACGAGCCCAGAGCGCCUCUACCUACAGGUGUACGAGCAAAGAGCGCCUGUACGAGCCCAGAGAUCCUCUACCCACAGGCGCACGAGCCCAGAGUGCCUCCGCAUACAGGCACGAGCCAAUAGCCUGGCAAGCUUUUCAUUCUUUACAUCCAUUACACCAAUUCUCACUUUCACCGGAUCUAAGACACUAUAAAGUAUAUUAUUCUUAAUAAACCGUUUGUGAAAGAAA